UGGCUCAGUUGGUAGAGCAUGGUGUUUGCAAUGCCAGCAUGGUGUGUGCAUGCUGGGGUUGUGGGUUCAAUUCCCAU
rnacentral:tRNA from 1 species